rnacentral:rRNA from 1 species
UUGAACGCUGGCGGCAUGCCUUACACAUGCAAGUCGAACGGUAGAGGAGCAAUCCUCGAGAGUGGCGAACGGGUGAGUAAUGUAUCGGAACGUGCCCAGUAGUGGGGGAUAGCCCGGCGAAAGCCGGAUUAAUACCGCAUGAGACCUGAGGGUGAAAGCGGGGGACUCGCAAGAGCCUCGCGCUACUGGAGCGGCCGAUAUCAGAUUAGGUAGUUGGUGGGGUAAAGGCCUACCAAGCCUGCGAUCUGUAGCUGGUCUGAGAGGACGACCAGCCACACUGGGACUGAGACCCGGCCCAGGCUCCUACGGGAGGCAGCAGUGGGGAAUUUUGGACAAUGGGCGAAAGCCUGAUCCAGCCAUGCCGCGUGAGUGAAGAAGGCCUUCGGGUUGUAAAGCUCUUUCAGCAGGAACGAAACGGUCGGCUUUAAUAAAGUCGGCUAAUGACGGUACCUGCAGAAGAAGCACCGGCUAACUACGU